rnacentral:lncRNA from 1 species
CUUGGUUUGACUGAACUCACAGAAUAUUGAGUCAGAAUGAACAACUUUUCUUGCCCCAAAAGUGCAAAAGCUAGGAGAAGCAGUCAAACUGUACUUUCAACUCUGUGCUGUCAGUGAGAGCUGCGAACAUGAAGCAGUUGCCAUUCUCAGUGGUACAAUAAUCAAGUAGGAACUAGAGUUUCAGCACUCUCAGGCUCAUUCUGCAUUUGCGCUGCCACUUGAAAUACCAGAUUUGCUUGACAGAAGAAAAAAACAGCUGCAGUGUUGUCAGGAUCUCUAACUGCAAUCCUCUGGUGAUGAAAGAGACCCCAGAAAUUACGUAUAGUAUGCUGCAGUGAAAACAUAAAAAGCCUCAGUUUCCUACCUGCUGCACCCCAGUCAUUUUCUCUUCUUGACACAAGAUGGAGAAGAGGGGACAACCAGUAGUCAGAAAGGGUCACUGUUCUCUGGGUCUGCCUCCUGGUGAUGGUGCACAGUUUACAGAAGAUGGCCCUUGGAGGAACUGCUUGCCUUUUGCAGUGACCAAAGGUUUCCACUCUUUGAGUGGAGGAGGCAGAUUCAAGAAAGCUGCAAUCGCUGAAGUGUGCUUAUCAUCUUCCCUCAUGGCAUCUUCCUCCUUGAAUUGUGCUUGUUGUGCUUGCUUCCUCCUUUGCUGCCCUUGUGAGAUGUCACAUUUCAGUUGGGUAAGCAAUUUGGUUGUAGCUCUAAUCAGAAAGAGGUGUCCAAGCACCAAGAUUAGGGGCUUAGGGUUGAUUUCUCCUCCCUCCCCCACCCUGUAUCCUGUAGUAAAUCAUUUGUGUACAGCACCUCAGCAACAUAGCAAAACAAAAGCUGCUGACAGAAACUUUGAAGGAGUCAGUCUUUCAUAUACAUGAAUAACUUGGCAUGACCGAUGCAGCAAAAGGAGGAUUGAAUGGUUGCUGUCUACAAAUACAAAACAAGGUUACUUACCUAGAAGAGCAUAGAACUAAAAAGUAUUAUAAAAGGAUGAAUAGUUACAUCCUUGCCUUGAAUAAAAAUUAGCUGUAAAUUAGAAGUCCCUUAAUG